CCCCCCCCCAGCCUUGGACCUACCCCAGAAGGUGUCGCAGCUCGAGGCCAGGCUAAAGCAGCUCCACAGCGACCUCCAGAAGGAGAAGCAGGGCAAGGUGGUUCUCCAGGUGGAAGUGGCCAACCUGCGCCACAACAACUGGCACCUGCAGCAGGAAUUGCACUCGGCCUCGCGCCAUCUCUGCCGCUUCGCCCUCUUCUUCUCCGGUACUGUGGACAAGGAAGAGCUGUGACCCCCCCCGGACAAUGGCAUUCCAUAGGGAACACCGUCAUUCCAUAGAGAAUGCUGCCAUUCCAUAAGGAGUGCUGGGAUUCCAUAGGGAGACGCAGUUCCAUAAGGGACACUGAGGAUCUCACAUCUUCUUCAGCACCAUGGACAAGGAGGAGCUGAG